GAGGGUAUAGCACAGGGGUAGAGUAUGUGCUUAGCAUGCAUGAGGUCCUGGGUUCAAUCCCCAGAACCUCCA
rnacentral:tRNA from 1 species